CUGCCUGUGUUCUCUGACCUACUAGUGCCUGGGAUAUUUAUAGACCAUGUUCCAAGAGAAGAGAAGUCCACUCUAGGAGACCACCAGGAGGGAAGAGAUUGUUACUUUGGCACACUGGAACCUCAUCUGCCCAACUCCUUCAAAGUCUGGGAGACCUAUGAGUAUGGAGAGAAAACGACUUUCUGUGAAGUCACGUUUUACAAAAUUUGAAUUUGUUGCCAACCAUCUAUUUGGCCACAUCAGGUAAAAUUGCUUGCUAUUUUUCAUUUGAAAUGUUGCUGAUCCUUUAGUGGACUAAAGCUGCCUGGGUAUUUUAAAGGACAUUUGGGAAGAUAAUUUUCUAAAUGAUGAAGUCAAAAGGUGGCAGCCAUAUCUUUUCAGGAGUGCCCCUGGAUUUCAUCUGGAAAAGGUAGAAAUUUAGAUUUGGCUGCUGAUUUACUCAAGGCUCUGCUAAGGAAAGAUAGCAUUUUGCAAUUGUUUUGUGCUGGGAAUGAAAGCAAAUAAAGAGACCAGGAAUGGAAGUGGGAUGCCCACUUUAUCCUGUGGAAGGAGAACUUCAAAUUCCUCAUUUUGUCUUUUUUCUUACAAAA
rnacentral:lncRNA from 1 species